GUUACGUUGUUUGUCAGCGGACUUCAUGCCGCAAUUUGUCUGACUGGGUGUUGCAUGGAAGUUAAUAUUACCAAUGGCCAGCACAAGCGACACCUGCAGGCAGGAGUAUACUACACAACAUAUUUCCCCUUUCGUAGAAAAGCAUAUUGUUACCACACAAGAACUGUGUGCUAGAAAUUACAAUAACAUACAUGUAAAGCAUAAACAACAUGUACAAACAGAAUGAGCAAUUUUUUUUCUCAAACAAGCCUUUUCUCUUAAGGAAUUUUUUCUAUUCCUCACUAAGAAGGAACAUAGUCCUUAGCCCAGAAUGGAGCACGACGAACCCUAUGCAAUUGAUUUGUGGCAGAAUGUUCAGAUGGCACAGCACAAGGUGUAUGCACCUCGUGUGGCACGUAAGUGUCCUCAGGCACCGUCAACGUGGAUGGAACAGCAUAGGGCAAAGAUGUAGGGGCGAGGUGAGCAGCAUUCCACACUUUCCCGUCAGAUAGAAGGUAAGUAGCUGGACCACGCUUUGCAACGACUUUAUAAGGCAGACUGAAUUUGGAUUGUCCUUUGCUGACAAUUCCUGGUUUCCUAAUGCGAACAAAAGAAUCCACUUGAAUGCCAGGAGCAGUAGCCACACGACGCUUGUCUGUGUACUCUUUUGCCUUUUGCUGCUUCCUUUGAACUGUCAGCUUCCAGGUCUUUGCGGACUUUGGAGGGGCUACGCCCGGAAGAUCUCGAACAUGAAGUUUUGUGUGCAUCGAGUGGCCGUGUAGCAGUUCAGCAGGAGAACACGUAGUAAUGGUAUGAGGUGUUGCCCUGUAUGUGUGCAGGAAUUCAGUGACAAAGGUUUUCCAUGGCUUACCUUCAAUGGUAGCAGUUUGAAGGCAGUCCUUAAACACUCUGUUGAAUCUUUCAAUUUCCCCAUUGGCUUGAGGAAAGUACACAGAGCUGCGGCAGUGCUUAAUAUGCCUCAUAGCAAGAAAGCUUUCAAACUCAGAAGAGAUGAAUUGCGGACCAUUGUCGGAUACAACUUCACACGGGUUUCCUUCACGGCUGAAUACGACCGAAAGGAAUGUAAUGACUGUGGCAGAAGUAACUUCAGAAGCAAAUGCCACCUCAGGCCAUUUGCUGUAAUAGUCAAUGAGUGUCAUGGCAUAGCGACAGUCAUGAACAGCAUGAUGGAAGGGACCAACAAUGUCAAUGGCUACCUUCUCCCAAGCCGCUGUAGGAAUAGGUACUGGAUGGAGUGGUGCAGUAUGUGUUAUAGCAGUCUUGUCAUGCUGCAGGCAUGUAGUGCAUGUUUUACUGGCAUUUUCCACUUGCAAGUUCAUACCUGGCCACCAGUAGAGGUCUCUUAAGCGCUGUCUAGUCCUAACAAUCCCUUGAUGCGUGUCAUGUGCCAGUUGAAUGAACUUGGGCUGCAAAGUUGCAGGUACUACCACUCGAUGGGUGCCACGAAUGACGUAUCCCUCUUGCACAGCUAGUUCGUCUCGUAAGCGGUAAAAGGGAGUAAGAGCUGAAUCCAUACCUUUAGCAGUACGAGGCCAACCUUUCGUUAUGUAGGCCUUAACCUGGUGCAACACUGGGCACUGAUCAACAGCGUGCUGGAGUUCCUCAGCUGUUACAGCAGCGAACCCUGGCGACACCACUGCAACCAUUUCAGGCUCUUGUUCUUGUUCCUCCUUCAUACAGGGUAAUGGCAAUAACGUGAUAAGCAGUCAGCAGUUACAUUUUCUGUUGCAGGCUUGUAGACAAUGGUGUAAUUAAAACACAGCAAGCGUGCCGACCAUCUAGCAAUUCUCAUACCUGCUCUACCAAGACCUUUUGUAGACAGCAAGGUCGUUAGCGGGUUGUGAUCUGUUUGCAGGGUGAAAUGACGACCCCAAAGGUAGGUGCGCCAUUUUUCUGUAGCCCAAACACAUGCCAAGGCCUCUUUCUCGGUUGCAGAGUAUUUACGCUCACAUUCAGACAGUGUCCUGGUUGCAAAAGCAACCGUCAGUUCAGUGUCUCCAUGCCACUGUGUAAGCACAGCACCUAAGCCAUAAUUUGAGGCAUCUGUUGUGACAGUAGUAGGGCAUGAGGGAUCAAACAAUGCCAGUGCAUGGCUGGUAGAAAUGAUCUGCUUCACACGAGAGAAAUUUUCAUUUGCCUCAUCUGUCCAACAGAAUUCAGUAGAUUUCCGCAGCACAGCACGGAGCGGUUCCACCAAAGUAGCAUAAUUGGGAAUGAACUUAGCAUACCAUCCCGUCAGUCCAAGAAAGGAACGUAGCGCAUGUGCGUCCUGUGGAGGCGGAGCUUGUGUCACAGCCACAACAUGCUCUGGAUCUGGAUGCAGACCAGUAGCUGAAAUGACAUGUCCUAAAAAUGGAAGCUCUGUUUUUCUGAAGGAGCAUUUCUCCCUGUUGAUCUUAAGACCACGGUCUUGCAGACGAUGUAGCACGGCACAAAGUCUCCUUUCAGAUACACCUUUCAUCUCAGGUGUAUCAGCAUGAAUUAUGAUGUCAUCCAGGUAACAUUGAACACCGUCCAAUCCAUCCAAGAUCUGUGACAUCAUUCUCUGAAAUGCACUAGGAGCCGAAGCCAGCCCGUACGGGACCCGUGUAAAACGAAACAGUCCGUCAUGCGUAAUAAACGCUGUAAGGUCUCUACUGUCUUCAUGCAAAGUCACUUGGUGAUAUGCAUUCUGCAAGUCAAUGGUCGAAAACACAGCUGAUCCCCUGAGUUCUGUAAAAACUUCUUCGAUAUGCGGUAACGGGUGGCUAUCUAUCACAACAGCCUUGUUCGGCUCUCUCAGGUCAACACACAACCUGAUUCCUCCCAACUUCUUUUGAAUGACCACUAUGGGUGAGACCCAUUCGGAGGAGUCUACCUUCUCGAUGAUGCCUUCCUUUUCCAGUCUUUUUAACUCUUGUGAGACAGAGUCACGCACAGCAAACGGCAAUCUACACAGCUUUUGUUGCACAGGCGGCACAUCCGAGCGUAGUUUGACUUUGUGUACAAAUCCUUCAGCUACACCACAAGCAUCAGUAAAGUCGACAGCAGCAGUACACCCAGCCGAAGGCAUAACACAUCCAUCUCGUAUUUCAAGUUGCAGCGCAGUGAACAAAUCCAUGCCAAGCAAUGGAGUUCCUUUCUCCACAAUGUAAAAAUCCACUUGUGUACAGUGAGCAGAACAUGUGACACUGAGACUAAUGCACCCAAGCACAGGAAUACGUCUCUUCAUGUAUGUCACCAGACGAACUUUUGGGGUAGAAUGCGGCAAAGUAGAAAAGUAUUGUCUGUAAAUCUGCUCAGGCAGAAUUGAAACAGCAGAACCAGUAUCUACAAGCAAAUCUACUUGAAUGGACUGUCCAUGAUCAUCACUCAGGUGAGCUUCUUUCUUUGCUCAACAAUGAAUGGGGUUGUAACGCUCAGAACUGUAAGGUCUGGUACGGUCACUUCUUGUACAUUGCAUGCAUUUCCUGAAUUACGGCAAACUCUUGCAAAGUGACAAAUUUUUGUACACUUUUUACAUGUCACUUGCUUCGCUGGACAUUUUGGGUAAUUCGCUAGGUGUGAAAGUGAACCACAGCGAUAGCAUGUCUUACUCUGAGCUGUUCGGUGAAAAUUGGAUACUGUUUGCUUUUGUGUCACCUCAAACUGGGAAGAUCUACGAGGCUUUGUAGACACAUAAGAACGAGCAUGUACAGCCUUGACCACGACAUCGCCUGGGCAUGUCAUUGCUUUAGCCUCAGUGGCCGCCGACUCCAUUUGCCCCGCAAUUGUAAUUGCCUUUUGCAAAGUAAGGUCAGUCUCCAGGAGCAAAUGCUCACGAAUACGAGAGUUGCAUGUUUUCUCUACAAGCUGAUCUCUUAUCAUGUCGUCUGCUAAAGUACCAAAGUCACAGUGCACAAGCAGUCCACGCAGAGCAGCCACAAAUUGGACGACAGACUCACCGUCUCUGACUCUGACUGCGUUGAUGAAAUUUGUUGCGUUCAGCCACCACAUUGAUCUUGGGCACGAAGAACGACUUCAAGGCAGCUAACGCAGCCGCGUAAGUAUCAUUCUCCACUUCCAAAGUGUAGAAGAUGCGUUGGCCCUCUGUACCGAGGCAGUGUAUAAGUAGCGCUCUUUUUCGUUUCUCUGGAAUGUCGUCUUGGCCAAGCGCCAGAAUGUAGUUAUCAAACAUACGAAUCCAGGAGCUGAAUGUCAUAGACGGAUCACCGGGAGUCUCAAGAAAAGCGGGUGGUGGUGGAAGUCCAAGUAAAGCCAUCCUCGUCGCCAAUAUGUUGUAUUUGUAGAUGAAGAAUGUAAUAAGAAUGAAAAUAAGCACGCAACACACUGUAGUUCUGGCGCGGUUCUUUUCUUUUCUUUUUUUCACUUCUCCUACUCUGAACAUUGAGCUCUCUUUUUACUCACACAGCGACACCUGCAGGCAGGAGUAUACUACACAACAGGUUUGAGAUGGAGUAGCUACCUCUGCUUGCACACUUAAAUGUUGAAGACAGGUUUUUGGCUCUGGGGUAAGUGAUAAGUGAAUUCAUCCACCAUUUGUAAGUUUAGAUUCUCCAGCAUUUAAACACUUAUCUAAAGCAGGUGCCUAUGCUAUGUAUUUUAGACUGAUAGAUGUAUUGAAAGACCUUUUAUGUGGGUUCUGUUCUAAAUUGAUACAUAGAAGAUCAGAUGGAUACUUGAUCUAUCCAUCAGAGGUGAGUAGCAGCUCACUCAGUACAUGUACUUGAGUAAAGUGUAAGCGUAGGUAAAUUAGUGAGGGGUUUAUGUUUUUAGCCGUUAACAUUUCCCUUUUUCUAUUUAAUUUUAUUCUAUCAUGUCAAUGUCAGCAUCAGUACUGCUUUGCGAUUUCAUGCCUCUCACUUUCAAGCUUUAUCAUGCAAUAUGGUGACCCACAAGGCUCUGUUUUAGGGCUCUUAUGGUUCUCGCUUUAUUUAUAGCCACAUAAUCUGUAACACAAUGUUGCCUUUCACUUUUAUGCUGAUGAUUUAUAGGUCUGAGACAGAGUCAGUGAUGCAGUUACACAUAGUGGAAGUUUGUGUUAAAAACAUAAAAGUUAGCAUGGGCACAUCUUACUAGUUAAAAUGCUGUAGUUCAUCCAGACCACUUCAGUCAGAUGAGACAGGCUUAGUGCGAACUCUUGCAGUUCAGUUAGUCUAAGAUCAUCUUACAUAGCACCCAAACUCUGAGGAUAUUAAGAAAGUGAGUUUGAUGGGGCUUUUCAAUUCCGUAUGAAAUACAUGUUUGUUUAGAUUAGCAUUAAGGUUUGGAGCUCAUGCUUUGCCGUCUGUUUUGGCCUGUAGUUGUGCUCUUACUCUUCAUUUAGACCAUUUCUAUAAAGCUUUUGCAAACUUCAGUUGCUAAAAAAGAAUGCAGAUGUUUGACUGGAUUGAGAUCUGGGGAGUUUGGAGGCCAGGGUAACACCUUGAAUACUUCAUGUUCCUCAGACCACUCGUGUACAAUGUGUGCAGUGUGGCAUGCUGCAUUGUCCUGCUGAAAGAGGCUACUGCCAUCAUGGAAUACCAUUGCCAUGAAGGGGUGAACCUGGUCCACAACAAAGUUUAGGUAGAUGGUAGAUUUCUAAUUGACAUCCACAUGAAUGCAUGGAUCCAGGGUUUCCCAGUAGAGCACUGCCUUCCACUCCUCCUCCUUCCUACAGUGCAUCCUGGUACAAUCAAGUUUUAAGUUACAUGCUGCAAAUGUACCUGGCUGUCCAGAAAGAAAGCAGGAUUCAUUAGACCAGACAAACUUCUACCAUUACUCCAAGGUCCAGUUCUGACACUCACGUGUCCAUGUAUCCAUUUCAACAAUGGACAGGUGGUUAUUAUGGGCAGUCUACACUUUGCACUAUGUGUUGUGACCCAUUCCUCCCAUUAGCAUCCUUAUAAAUUUCUGUGAUUUGGGCAACAGUAGCCCUUCUGUCUGUUCUGACCAGAUGGGAUAGCCUUUGCUGCCCUUAUACACUGAUGAGCUUUGGCUGCCCUACACUCUGUUGCUGGUUUGUAGUAUGCCCACCCCCUCCCUUAGACCUUUGUCUGUAGGUACUCACCAGUGCUGACCGGGAAUUCCUCAGAGGUCUUGCCAUUUUGUAGGUGUUGUGACCCACUCGUCCGGCCAUAAUGAUCCAUUUGACCCUUGUCAAAGUCACUCAGGUCUUCAUGCCUGCCCAUUUCCCAUCCAACAUGUCAACUAUGAAAUCCAAUUGUUCGCUUACCGUCUAUAUAAUCCCAAACCUUGAAAUGAAGCACUGUUGGAAGACAUUCAACUUUAUUUGCUUCUGUGAGUGUUCAUGUUUUGGCUCAUCUCUUUUUUUGUGUGGGUGUGCUUGAUAUUCCUUUUUUCCGUUUUCUUUGGGAUCCUUUGAAUUAUUGUACACAAUAACAUGUAAAAUGCUAAUUUCACAAUUUCUUGCACUGCAUUUCUGAUGGUUCUGAUACCCUAACAAUGUCAAGGUCAAUGUACACUCUCAGAAAAAAGGUAUGCAACUGUCACUGGGAUGAUACCCCUUGUUUCAUAAUCCAUUCCAAUUAUAGUUUAGUUGUGUUGACCCUACACACCCCAUCUUGUCUCCAGGACUUUUGUUUUAUUGUUCUAUUUGAAAAAUUUAGGUUAUAAACAGAUACAAAUGUAUAUGUAAUGUAAUACAUAUACAGCUAGAUCAUACAUAUGUAUGUAACAAGUGGGAAAAACCUACUUAAUGUACACUUAAUGUACACAGAAGGCCAUAAUUGUUCCUUUGAAGGUACAUAUACAUUGUUUGUAUCUCAAUGGAGAUAAAUAUAUCUACACAGUACCUUUAUUUCUGACAGUAUGCUUGAUGCAACAUUGAUGCAAUUUGGGGAUGGGUAGUAUGAAGACACAUGUUCCUCAACACACAAUCACAUCUUAUCUAACAAUGUUUUCUCUAAUUUAACAGCCCUUCCUCACUUAAGCGGCAAUGCCCAUAUAGGCCAUUCAACAAAGCAGAGAACACAGCAAGUUCUCUUUCAGAUUUAGGGCUUCCGGGACUGCUGAUGCUGAUAAUUCGUGGUGUCUACAUAAAAGCAGAUGGUCAUUUCAGCUCAUACCAGUUUAUCAAUACGUGUGUCCUGGACUCAAUCCUGGCUGCUUUCCAUAUUUGUUACAUCAAAUACCCAAAUGUGAAGUCUCUCUUAGAAUCAAACGCAUCUCUUGGAGUUAUCAUGAAUUAUUUAAACUCAGAAAAGUUUGAUGAUGCAAAAGCUCUCUGGUUGAGGCAGCUCAGGUGUUUGCCUAAAAAUAAAAUACUUGAUUGUAGAUGUCAUGUGCAAGAUCAUUUUCCAAUGUUUGCUAAACUGGUAUGUGCUGAAGUAGGUUACCGCCAAGAAACCCCCAAUGGCAAUCCCAUAUAUGAAACAACACUGAGCAAAUUUCGAGCACUUGGUGAUGUGAAGGCUUUGGGGCAUGCGGAUGAUCCUGCUCUCAUUCUGGUGCAUCGAGUUGUUCAGUUAAACCUUCCUGACCUUCCUAAACCACCACUGUGUGUUAAAGAUGACCACCAAAGGAUCUUUGAGCUUCAGUUUCUGCUGCUGGGUGAAGGAACUCACAUGCUCAUGUGUUUCAACUUCUCAAAGAACAUUUGGAUUCUCUAUGAUGAUGACCCGGCUCGCAGGUCUUUUCGGCAUUUCAAGUUUGAAGAGGAACUUGACUGUUAUAUGAUCUGCCUAGCUGGCUAUGUCAGUACAACCCGAGCUGAAGAACAUAACCAUGGCAUUCCUGAGACUGGAGCAGGAGCACAGCCCUUCGAAUCAGAUUCAUCAAGACAGCAAAAUAUUCCUGAGGAGUCUGUGGAUGAUGUACUGAUGAUGUUGGGAGAUCUAUCCUGUGGUACCUCUGAAUAACAACACUACUUGUACUAAGCUCUGAUCUCAGAAUAAGCUUUAAAUGCCAUGUAAUCAAAUCGAAUGCAUGCAUGUUUAUCUUUAUGAACAGAAUGUAAGCUGUGGUGCUCAAUUUCAUGCAAAAGAGCAUUAUAAUAUUUCCUGCUAUGCAUCGGUUGUUACCUUAUUUCACAAAGAUAACUGACUUUUUUUUACAUUUUUUUUUACAUUUUUUACAUUAGCCUUAAUUUUGCAUUGUGAUGUGGUCAUGAAGUAUUGUCUGGUGGUAUGGCCAGCUACUGGAGUGGGCCCCAAGUUACUCUUUAAAAAGUUUACUUGUUAGCUUUGAUUGUAGCAUAUCAACAUGUAGCAACAGCAUGCUUUCAUCAUAUGCAGUAAUUGGACAGAGGAAUGUUAUUUUGCUACAAUUUCUGUACUCCAGGACGUUGUUUAUUAAAUAAAAUAGUCACUACCAA